GCCGGGGUGGCGAAAUUGGUAGACGCGCCAGAUUCAAAAUCUGGUAGUGGCAACACUGUGUCGGUUCGAGUCCGACCCUCGGUACCA
rnacentral:tRNA from 1 species